UUCUGACGAAUACAUACUGUAUUCGACACUAGCCACGACAGGAGAUUGACAUG
ncrna:unclassified sequences Mu-gpT-DE RNA